AGCAGCCGCGGUAAUUCCAGCUCCAAUAGCGUAUAUUAAAGUUGUUGCAGUUAAAAAGCUCGUAGUUGAAUUUCGGGGUUAGUAGGCUGGUCGUGCCACUGGUAUGUACUGGUCUCACUGAUCCCUCCUUCCUGAUGAGCUGUAAUGCCAUUAAUUUGGUGUUGCAGGGAAUCUGGACUGUUACUUUGAAAAAAUUAGAGUGUUUAAAGCAGGCUAACGCUUGAAUACAUUAGCAUGGAAUAAUGAAAUAGGACGUUCGAUCCUAUUUUGUUGGUUUCUAGGAUUGACGUAAUGAUUAAUAGGGAUAGUUGGGGGCAUUAGUAUUCAAUUGUCAGAGGUGAAAUUCUUGGAUUUAUUGAAGACUAACUACUGCGAAAGCAUUUGCCAAGGAUGUUUUCAUUAAUCAAGAACGAAAGUUAGGGGAUCGAAGACGAUCAGAUACCGUCGUAGUCUUAACCAUAAACUAUGCCGACUAGGGAUCGGAUGAUGUAAUUUUUAAUGACUC
rnacentral:rRNA from 1 species